GAGGGGCUACUGUUAUCCAGUGCUUCAGGUACUGGAAGUGUUCUCGAACCUCUCUCAGCAGUUCCGUUGAAUGAUGCACUCCAGCAAGCUAAGGCAUCUGUGUCAAAGGCUGAGGUUGAUGUGCUCCUGAAGAUAACACAGAAGAUGCAAGAAGAAAUUGAUUAUAUUGAAAGCAUUUUCAGCAUGAUGGUUAGGCUGGAUGUGAUCAACGC
rnacentral:misc_RNA from 1 species